rnacentral:rRNA from 1 species
AUUGAACGCUGGCGGCAGGCCUAACACAUGCAAGUCGAGCGGAGCAGCAGACGGGUAAGUAAUGCCUAGGAAUCUGCCUGGGAGUGGGAGAUAACGUCCAGAAACGGGCACUAAUACCGCAUACUAUCAGAUGAGCCUAGGUCGGAUUAGCUAGUGGUUGGGGUAAAGGCCUACCAAGGCGACGAUCCGUAACUGGUCUGAGAGGAUGAUCAGUCACACUGGAACUGAGACACGGCCCAGACUCCUACGUGAGGCAGCAGUGGGGAAUAUUGGACAAUGGGCGCAAGCCUGAUGCAGCCAUGCCGCGUGUGUGAAGAAGGUCUUAGGAUUGUAAAGCACUUUAAGUUGGGAGGCGUUACCAACAGAAUAAGCACCGGCUAACUUCGUGCCAGCAGCCGCGGUAAUAC